rnacentral:lncRNA from 1 species
CUUGGCACGGAUUUUUGUUUUAUUUCCCCUUAUAAAACGUAAUUUCUCACCUGCAUCGUCAAAUUUGGAAAAUCUAUGCCCAUUGUGAUUUCCUGUCACACAACUGGUACAUACCGGUACAUUACAUGUAUUACACAAUAACGUUAAUUCUUCUUUAUGUUCAUUACAUUUAGAUUUACCUUCCGGAAUCUGCUCUGAAGACUUUUGAAACAGAUGGUUUCUCGAUAACUUCUGCCUUUUAUGUAGCAACUUACAAUUUUC